rnacentral:lncRNA from 1 species
ACAGUACAGGGUUGUGACUGGUGUUUUGGGGUUCUCUCUGCGCAUAAGCCCUUUCCUUUUAAUACAAACAGCAAGAUCAUCCUGUUCAGCAGUUGACAGAUGACUGUGUGCACCAAAAGGCAACAACGAUGAGGCAACUGAUGCAUUUGUAACUCAAUGUCUCACUGAAUUCCAGCUUUCUUUUCUCAAGGUGGUGAAACAGGAAGCAACAUCCCAUCAGGAAGAACCUGAGGGUGCCAUCCAGUAGCUUCGCCUCACGUCACUGACUGCCCUCAGUCAGAAAUCUUGACUCGCAACUUUGGAGGGUGGGUCUCUGAAGGAAUUUCAGGUCUUACACAGAGAUGAGUUGUGCUGCUCUCUGAGGAGAACGAAGCUGGUUGGAACGUUGGAAGCUGCUCUCUGACUACACUUCACAAGCAAGGGGCACCUUUUGUGGACUGACAUUUCAGAAAGGGAUGUUGUGAAACAAAAGCUGACAUUUAUAUAUAUAUACAUAUAUACAGUAUUUGAGUUCCUCAGUAGAAAGCUAUCAUAUAUACUCAGAAUGUUUUGGACGUUUAAAGAAUGGUUCUGGUUGGAAAGAUUCUGGCUUCCUCCAACAAUAAAGUGGUCAGAUCUUGAGGAUCACGAUGGACUCGUCUUUGUAAAACCUUCUCAUUUAUACGUGACAAUUCCAUAUGCUUUUCUCUUGCUGAUUAUCAGACGUGUAUUUGAAAAAUUUCCUACUUUUUGGUGGACAGCUCCAUUUUUCACAGUUUGGCCAGGACUGUGAGCCAGAAACAUCUUUAGGUUGCCAAAGAAGCACAGCUGUGGAGGACCAGCUUGUUACGUCCCUGUCUUGGCCUCUCCAACAACAAUCAGGAAGGAAUCCAACCCUCUCUUAAUUCCUAGGACCAUUGUUGCUUCUUCUCAAGGGAUUAAGUAUAGUCUAUAUUCUCUAUUCUAUCUCCUUAUAACUUCAGCUCCCAAUAACU